UUGUUGGUAGGUUAUAUCCUCACCUGUUUCUCCUUCGGGAGAGUGGAUAUAUGAUGAUUGGAGUUCGCAUGACACGUGAUUAGUGUCUCCGCGACGAUUGGGGAGCUGACAACACCCCAAUUGUUCCUAUCUGAU
rnacentral:snoRNA from 13 species